rnacentral:rRNA from 1 species
UACGUAGGGUGCAAGCGUUAAUCGGAAUUACUGGGCGUAAAGCGUGCGCAGGCGGUUUUAUAAGUUUGUCGUGAAAGCCCCGGGCUCAACCUGGGAAUGGCGAUGAAGACUGUAAGGCUAGAGUGUGUCAGAGGGGGGUAGAAUUCCACGUGUAGCAGUGAAAUGCGUAGAUAUGUGGAGGAACACCGAUGGCGAAGGCAGCCCCUGGGAUAACCACUGACGCUCAUGCACGAAAGCGUGGGGAGCGAAACAAGG